AUAUUUGCUCUGGGGAAUACCAGUUGAGUGCCAUUUUGACACAUGUUGGAGUUUUAAAAAUGUGAAGCUUUGCUUAGUAGAUAGAAAAAUUGUAUUUCAAUUUAUUCUUGGCAGUCAAUACUUAUAAACAAUAUCAUUGUAUAGCAAUAUAAAUUCCACAGAAAGUAACCAAAAGUUAGCAUGCAAUAAAUUUUAAUAUUGCACUAGUGCAAUAAAUCUUCAAAAUUCAUGACGUCAUCAACAACAAAAUCUUUUAGUUUAAACCAAUUUUUACUUUCAAAUAUUAUAUUGCUAUACAAUAAAAGGGUUAUUGCAUGAAUAUUGGGGAAUAUUGUCCCUCGUAG
rnacentral:lncRNA from 1 species